GGAUCGUGUAUUAUGAUUUUUUCUCAGAUUCUCGGCUAUCCAUCGAGUAAUACAAUUGAUUAAAUAUUGAUGUAAUCGUGGAUAUAUAUAGUAAUUAUGUUAUCGGAUGGAUUGUUGAACAUCGUCAGUUGUGUGUCAUUGGUUUGAUAUAGCCGAUGGUUGUCUCAAUUUAGCUAUAUAAGUGAUUGUCGGUCUUCCUUUGAGUAAGAUCAUUCCUUUGAGACUGUAAUUUCGGAUAUUCACCCCAACAACAAGCUUCUAUUAGUCAAUCUGCCACGUCUAUCAUGGCCGAUUUCGAUGCAUAUCAAUCAGUAUCAGCACUUGUAAGAUGAAUGGGAGUAAGAUGAAAGUUGGAUGGCCAAAAUCGGGGCUCUAAGGAUGA
rnacentral:lncRNA from 1 species